AACGAACGCUGGCGGCAUGCCUAACACAUGCAAGUCGAACGAGACCUUCGGGUCUAGUGGCGCACGGGUGCGUAACGCGUGGGAACCUUCCCUUAGGUUCGGAAUAACUCCCCGAAAGGGGUGCUAAUACCGGAUAAUGUCUUCGGACCAAAGAUUUAUCGCCUUUGGAUGGGCCCGCGUUGGAUUAGCUAGUUGGUAGGGUAAAAGCCUACCAAGGCGACGAUCCAUAGCUGGUCUGAGAGGAUGAUCAGCCACACUGGGACUGAGACUCGGCCCAGACUCCUACGGGAGGCAGCAGUGGGGAAUAUUGGACAAUGGGCGAAAGCCUGAUCCAGCAAUGCCGCGUGAGUGAUGAAGGCCUUAGGGUUGUAAAGCGCUUUUAACCGGGAUGAUAAUGACAGUACCGGGAGAAUAAGCUCCGGCUAACUCCGUG
rnacentral:rRNA from 1 species